CCGCCAGCCUCUACAGCGCCGUUUAUAUCCUCCAAAUUCGCCUAACCAUCAUAAAAGUAUAUCUUCAAUGAUACCGGCUUCAAUAAACCUUUUUUCAGUACAUACUUAAAGACCAGUAUGUUUUCACUAUAUUUGCUGGGAUUUAUAUUUUGGAGCCCCUGGAGACACCAAUGUGCCCAAAGAAACCACGAUGAGAGUAUUUACCAGGUAAGUUAUUUAUUGCAAUUCAUAUUAGAUUAUUUUUUUGAUAUUUUUUGUAUGUGAUAUGGAAAUAAAUUUCUUUUAGGGUAAUUGUGUUGCUCUUUUUUCUGUGUUAACUAGACUUGAGUCAUGCUAUACAUACUGUAGAAUAUUUACUGAUUACAAAAGGCAUUGGUUAUUCCUUUUAUUUCCAAGGCCUCCAGACCACCAUUUUAUUUCAUAACUUUGCCUUCUCUUUCCCCCUUAUCCCCUUCACUUCCUCUUGUGCUGAAUAGAAUCAUCUGGCAUUAGCCAAAUGAAAUAUUUAAGAGACAAUGAAGGGGUUAAUACAGUAAAACCUUUAUCGUUUAUCAAUCAAUACUUUACAAAUUGGCUAGUUCAUACAUGCAGUUCAAUGUGUGUUAUGUUCACCAAAAAUUAAAUAUUUUACACUUCCAUCAAUAUUGCAAAAUAUAAAAUUAAAAAUAUAAGAAAAUGUGUUCAACAAAAAACAAUAGCAAAGCAAGUAGUGAUGUACAGUAUGUUCAUUGUACAGCCCAUUCUUCCUGCAUCACCUGAAGAGGCACUGGGAGGGAGUGUAUAUUAAUAUGAAGUGAAAAAUGUAUUGUCAAAGCACUUGGUCAGUAAUGUGUCCAAAUUUAAGCUUUCUAGCUCAAAAAUUUCCAUAAAUAACAUCCAGACAACAUUAAGUGUUGAGUUGAGUAUGCUUCUAAUAUUCUCUUGCUAUUACAGGAAGUGGAUUCAAUGGAGGAUGAAGAUUUACCGCUGUCAGACGUUUGGUAUGUUGAAUUGUACUUGCCAUUUGUAGUUGUGAUGUAAUAAAGUAUUAUGUUGAUG